rnacentral:rRNA from 1 species
CGAAGGGGGCUAGCGUUGCUCGGAAUGACUGGGCGUAAAGGGCGCGUAGGCGGUUUGGUUUGUUAGGUGUGAAAUUCCUGGGCUUAACCUGGGGGCUGCACUUAAGACGGCCAGGCUUGAGUGUGAAAGAGGGUCGUGGAAUUCCCAGUGUAGAGGUGAAAUUCGUAGAUAUUGGGAAGAACACCGGUGGCGAAGGCGGCGACCUGGUUCAUUACUGACGCUGAGGCGCGAAAGCGUGGGGAGCAAACAGGAUUAGAUACCCUGGUAGUCCACGCUGUAAACGAUGUGUGCUGGAUGUUGGGUGACCUAGUCACUCAGUGUCGUAGCUAACGCGAUAAGCACACCGCCUGGGGAGUACGGCCGCAAGGUUG